GCCGCGAUGCCACAAUGGUACUGGGCUAGUUCUGAAAACUAGUGAUCCGUAACAGGACUGAGGGUUCGAAUCCUUCUCGCGGCG
rnacentral:tRNA from 1 species